GUACUCGCUUCAGCAGCACAUAUACUAAAACUGGAAUGAUACAGAGAAGAUUAGCACGGCCCCUGCACAAAGAUGACACACAAAUUUGUGAGGCAUUCCUUAUUUUG
rnacentral:snRNA from 1 species